GACGUAGGGCGCGAGCGUUGUCCGGAUUUAUUGGGCGUAAAGAGCUCGUAGGCGGCUUGUCGCGUCGAAUGUGAAAACUCGGGGCUCAACUCCGAGCUUGCAUUCGAUACGGGCAGGCUAGAGUUCGGUAGGGGGAGACUGGAAUUCCUGGUGUAGCGGUGAAAUGCGCAGAUAUCAGGAGGAACACCGGUGGCGAAGGCGGGUCUCUGGGCCGAUACUGACGCUGAGGCGCGAAAGCGUGGGGAGCAAACAGG
rnacentral:rRNA from 1 species